UUAGAUACCCUAUUAUAUUUAAGUGAUUAGACUUAAGGUAGUAGUUGCUAUACUCUUGAAACCUAAAGAAUUUGGCAGUGUUUAUUUAAAUCAGAGGACCUUGCCAAGUAAACGAUAAUCCACGUUAAAUCUUACUUUUUUUAUGCUUGUAUACCGUCAUCUAUAUACCUUUUUAUAAAAAGAGUGUAGAAUUUUUUUUUUUAAACUUAAGUUAGAUCAAGGUGCAGCUUUUAAAAGUUUUGGUGAGGUACAAUUUAAAUUUAAUUGGACUAAUACUUUAAUAGUUUUAAGAAAUAGGAUUUGAACGUAAUCUUAAUUUAAUAAGUUAGGAUGAGUAAUUAACUAAACAUGUACACAUCGCCCGUCGCUCUUA
rnacentral:rRNA from 1 species